ACUGCUCAGUAACACGUGGCUAACCUACCCUCAGGACAGGGACAAACCCGGGAAACUGGGGCUAAUACCCGAUAGGCGAGGAUGCCUGGAAUGGUUUCUCGCUCAAAGGACCUUGGAUACAUGCUUCCAAGUCGCCUAAGGAUGAGUCUGCGGUCGAUUAGCUUGUUGGUGGGGUAACUGCCUACCAAGGCGAUGAUCGAUACGGGCUCUUAGCGGAGUUGCCCGGAGAAGGAAUCUGAGACACUAUUCCUAGCUCUACGGAGUGCAGCAGUCGCGGAACUUUUACAAUGCACGAAAGUGUGAUAAAGCAAGCCAAAGUGCUUAUCGUUUAGAUAAGCUUUUUUUCGAUGUAAAAAUUCGGAAGAAUAAGGACUGGGAAAGACUGGUGCCAGCCGCCGCGGUAAUACCAGCAGUUCAAGUUGCAUCCCUUUUUAUUGGGUCUAAAACAUCCGUAGCUUGCCGUUUAAGUCUCUUGUGAAAUCCUACGUCUCAAGCGUGGUGAAGGGCAGGAGAUACUGGACGGCUAGAGAUCGGUAGACGUAAGAAGUACGCGACGGGUAACGGUCAAAUGUGUUAAUCCGUCGUGGACUAACGAUGAGCGAAGGCAUCUUACGAGGACGAAUCUGACAGUGAGGGAUGAAGGCCAGGGGCGCAAAACGGAUUAGAUACCCGUGUAGUCCUGGCAGUAAACACUGCUCACUAAACAUCGGGCCCUCUUCGGGAGGAUCCGGUGCUGAAGGGAAGCCGAAGAGUGAACUACCUGGGAAGUAUAGUCGCAAGAUCGAAACUUAAAGGAAUUGGCGGGGGAGCAC
rnacentral:rRNA from 1 species